UCAAUUUUUUGACUCUCUCCAUUUCGAUGAAUAACACAACAUCAUUUUAAUACUUCGUGUAUAUAUGCAAGAUAGCCAAACACCAAAAGUCCAAAACCCUCUCUCUAUUUCAAUCUUUUCACCAAAAUCCCUCUCUCACAGUCAAGAGUGUGAGAGAGAAGAUGGAGGGGGAAUCGUACCAGGGUGAAAAUCCAUGAAAUGAGGCACGACUACCUCAAGUUUGAGCUCCGCGACACCGACGCGAGCGUGGCCAAUGCGCUCCGGCGCUGAUGAUCGCCGAGGUCCCCAUGGUCGCCAUCGACUUCAUCGAGAUCGAAAUCAACUCCUCUACCUCGGCCUCAUCCCCUUGACUCCGGCCUCGGCCUCAUCCACACUGUCGUCCCCGUCGAUUUCUCUGGCGACUCUGGUUAUGAAGCUUCCAAAUAGAGAGGGAUUAUCAUUGUGAAGUUACGAAGCGGGAAUCACUGCCUGCAAGGUUGAUCCUAAUACUGGCAAGUUGCUCGGCAAACGACGUCGUCUGUUCGCUCCAAUCCAGCGUCUUCUUCCACUUCACAGCGCUCCGUCACUCCCACUUCUCGGAUUCUGACCUCCAAUUCCGAGUUUCAGCAAGAUGCUGGAAGAGUGAGUGGUUGCUAUUAGAGUUCGGCCAAGAAAUGAUGAGGAUCGAAUUUCUGAUUUGGAUUACGGCGACAGUGUUGAGGUCCAGCCAGAGUUGAAGGGUUAAAGUUGAGGAAAAACAAUUUGAUGUCCGAGUCUUAUAGAUUUGAUGAAAUUUUUACUGAGACUGCCUCGCAAAACCGUGUUUAACAAGUGGUAACAAAGCCUGUUGUUGAGAGUGUAUUGAAUGGAAAUAAUGGGACAGUCAUGGCUUACGGUCAAACUGGUACAGGGAAGAUUUACACACUUGGCAGGCUGGGUUGUGAUGAUGCAUUGGAGCGUGGUAUUAUGGUUAGAGCUUUGGAGGACAUUAUUUUGAGUACGGCUCCGGAGUCUGAUACAGUGGAAGUUUCAUACUUGCAGGUAAUCUGGUGAGCCUCUUAGCAAGGAUACAAAGAUUUGGGAGUCUCAAGUUGGAGGAUCAUUCACAGUGACUAGGGACUCUAGCGAGCCUCUUGGCAUGGGUACAAAACUGUCGUCACUUGACCGCAAGGAGGACUAGCUUAAGUACCUUGAAGAGCACAGGCUCAAGGAUUUUAUCAAGAUUGCGCUCAAGAAUUUAUUCAAGAAGCACUUUGUGUAUUGAUCAGUUACCCAAUUUGCAGCAUUUUGUUAUGUUUUAUUGUUUUCUUUCGAUGCUAUUGCAUCUCCCAUGUGCUCAGUUUGAUUUAAUAAAGAUUGUUGUUCUUCCA